GUCAAGUCCCAUCGUUUGGUCGGCGAAGAAUUCAUCGAGUGUGAAUAUAUAUGGUGUUUCAACGAGGGCUUACACUGGGGGCAACCGAGCAGACGGUCUCCUUGACAGGAGGUAGUCAGCGUCGCCCAUGGACAUCUACAAUAUAAAGGAUAUUGCGGAUGCGAUGCUGACCUUUAUUGUGGAAGAAGAAGAGGAAAGGGUGGGAACAGACAAAGGGCACCCGGCUCUCUCACUCAUCAGCCGAAACGCAGCCAGUAUAGAGUAGUUCCGCUCACCUGUGAGAGGGUGGUACUUCCCCGGUCGAGCCAGCCUAUGAUCGUGCUGUAGUAACUCGACCACAGCUAGGCUCUACCACCUCAUAAAUAAUAAUAUAUCAUAAUGAUAACAAAAAUAAAGUAAAAAGUCUGAUA